rnacentral:rRNA from 1 species
AGGGUUUGAUCAUGGCUCAGGAUGAACGCUAGCGGCAGGCCUAACACAUGCAAGUCGAGGGGUAACAGGAGGUGCUUGCACUUUGCUGACGACCGGCGCACGGGUGCGUAACGCGUAUAUAACUUGCCCCAUACUGGAGAAUAGCCCGGAGAAAUUCGGAUUAAUGCUCCAUAGUAACUUAAAGUCGCAUGGCUUAAAGUUUAAAGAUUUAUCGGUAUGAGAUAGAUAUGCGUCCCAUUAGCUUGUUGGUAGAGUAAUAGCCUACCAAGGCGACGAUCAGUAUCUGGUUUGAGAGGACGAUCAGACACACUGGAACUGAGACACGGUCCAGACUCUUACGGGAGGCAGCAGUAGGGAAUUUUCCGCAAUGGGCGAAAGCCUGACGGAGCAAUACCGCGUGAGGGAUGACUGCCUAUGGGUUGUAAACCUCUUUUUUCAGGGAGGAAUUAAUGACGUGUACCUGAAGAAUAAGCAUCGGCUAACUCCGUGCCAGCCGCCGCGGUAAUAC